rnacentral:rRNA from 1 species
AGCACCACAACAGGUGGAGCCUGCGGUUUAAUCGGACUCAACGCCGGGAAACUCACCAGAUAAGACAGCUGAAUGAUAGUCGGGCUGAAGACUCUACUUGACUAGCUGAGAGGAGGUGCAUGGCCGUCGUCAGUUCGUACUGUGAAGCAUCCUGUUAAGUCAGGCAACGAGCGAGACCCACGCCAACAGUUGCCAGCUCGUCCUCCGGGAUGGUGGGGACACUGUUGGGACCGCCUCUGCUAAAGAGGAGGAAGGAGUGGGCAACGGUAGGUCAGCAUGCCCCGAAUUAUCUGGGCUACACGCGGGCUACAAUGGGUGGGACAAUGGGUAUCGACACCGAAAGGUGAAAGCAAUCUCCUAAACCCAUCCGUAGUUCGGAUUGUGGGCUGCAACUCGCCCACAUGAAGCUGGAAUCUGUAGUAAUCGUGUCUCAAAAUGGCACGGUGAAUAUGUCCCUGCUCCUU